AUUGAACGCUGGCGGCAGGCCUAACACAUGCAAGUCGAACGGUAACAGGAAACAGCUUGCUGUUUCGCUGACGAGUGGCGGACGGGUGAGUAAUGUCUGGGAAACUGCCUGAUGGAGGGGGAUAACUACUGGAAGCGGUAGCUAAUACCGCAUAACGUCGCAAGACCAAAGAGGGGGACCUUCGGGCCUCUUGCCAUCGGAUGUGCCCAGAUGGGAUUAGCUAGUAGGUGGGGUAACGGCUCACCUAGGCGACGAUCCCUAGCUGGUCUGAGAGGAUGACCAGCCACACUGGAACUGAGACACGGUCCAGACUCCUACGGGAGGCAGCAGUGGGGAAUAUUGCACAAUGGGCGCAAGCCUGAUGCAGCCAUGCCGCGUGUAUGAAGAAGGCCUUCGGGUUGUAAAGUACUUUCAGCGGGAAGGAAGGGAGUAAAGUUAAUACCUUUGCUCAUUGACGUUACCCGCAGAAGAAGCACCGGCUAACUCCGUGCCAGCAGCCGCGGUAA
rnacentral:rRNA from 1 species